rnacentral:tRNA from 1 species
ACCUGGAUGGCUCAGUUGGUUAAGCGUCUGACUUCAGCUCAGGUCAUGAUCUCAUGGUUUGUGGGUUCGAGCCCCACGUCGGGCU